GAAAUUGCCAAUCAAUAGCUCUUUUCUGAGUUGAACGACAAUUGAAGAGGACGUAGUCCCUGAGAAAGUGGAAGUUUGUGACCAUUAUUAGCCGGAACAAUCGUUCAAUCAAGCUUUACGAUCAGAAUCACGAAAAUUGGUGGAUUAUUAGUUAUUAGGCCCAAGUGCGCGGGAACAAGAAUUUCCGAUUUAGUAUUUGAAAAUUAGUACCAAUAUCUAAUUUUAGUAAAAUAAGUCGUGGCUGCUCGAGGCUCAGGAACUUGAAAUCCUUCACGCGAAGGUGUUCCGUCCGGUCUGAAGAUCGGAUUGUAGGUUGCGAGAGGUCUCGAUCACUCCGAUUCCUCUUGGUGGAUCCCGAAGCUUGGCGGCUUGUAGGCGUUCGUCUCGUCGUCCGGCCAGUGAACCACAUAGGCACCUACGGGCCAGGGAGGAAUUCCACAACUCCCAGGAAUCGUCGCUGAAAGCUAAUCGCCGGCCACAUUCCAUUCUCGGUGGCCUCGAGUACGCUGACUAUUUGGGCAACGAAACUGCUCGGAUAGCGUGGGUUAGCACCGGUUAGCGAAGACUCACCCACUGACAGCAUCAGCACACCAUUAGAAUUCCGCAUAUGCGAAGAUUGCACCAACACCACCGUACGCAACGUCUGCACCAUCAACUGCCAUCCACGAAGCUAAGCCUCACCACCACCAUCGCCCCAUCCACCGCUGGACAUCGCGCCUGAGCUCGAGCCGGAGCCACACGACAGGUUAGAUACCUUUUAUUUUUGUAACCAAUACAUCUUGAAAAUACGAAAUUUAGAAAAAACAGUCAGGCCGUCGAUUUUGUUAUAUUCCGACCGACUGAGGGACUGAAAGAAGCACGGCCGUGCGAAUGCACAAGUCCAUAGUGGAACUUGCAUGCAAGUAGGAUUGAUAGGACUGGUAACGAAAAUUAAAUUCCUAUUAACGAACUUGGAGAUUGUUUUAGGCAAAGGAAAGAUUGAUUGAUUGGUUUUUUUUAGAAUUCAUUGUCUGGGAAGGGAACUGGGAAUUAACUCGUAAAGGUUGGGAGUGAUUUGGUCGGUUCGUUCUACUUUUUUCCAUGAUUUUGACGGACUCGCCCUGAGUCUCGCCGGGUAUCUUAUCUUGCUGCUUCACAAGCAAGAGAUUUAGGUCGUCUUGCUUGGCGC